UACGGGGGGGGCAAGCGUUGUUCGGAAUUACUGGGCGUAAAGGGCGCGUAGGCGGCCAGACAAAGUCGAGCGUUAAAUUCCAGGGCUUAACCCUGGCUGUUGCUCGAUACUAGUCGGCUAGAGUGUGGAAGAGGGGUGCUGGAAUUCCCGGUGUAGCGGUGAAAUGCGUAGAUAUGUGGAGGAACACCGAUGGCGAAGGCAGCCCCCUGGGUUAACACUGACGCUCAUGCACGAAAGCGUGGGGAGCAAACAGGG
rnacentral:rRNA from 1 species